CUUACUCUGUAUUUGUUCACGGUGGUCACCCCAGGGUCUCAGGACUCAAAUUGAGUGCUCUAUGGAUUAAACAGAAAAUGCAGUAUAAACAAGUGUUAUGUUGUCUUGAACAUGUUGGUAACUUACUCUGUAUUUGUUCACGGUGGUCACCCCAGGGUCUCAGGACUCAAAACGAUUGCUCUAUGGAUUGAACAUAAAAUGUAGAUCAACACUCCAACCAUCUGCAUUAGGGACUGAAUAAAGGAUGCCCUCUGUAGCUGGGAAUGUUAGAUCAGGCGGAUCAACAUUCCAUCCAUCUGCAUUAGGAUCUACCUUAGAGACACUCACUGGAGCUGUAAAUGGGAAGCAGGUCACUUACUUUGCAUUCGUCCUUGGUGGUCACCCCAGGGUCUCUAGAGUGAAAAUUACUCAAUCUAUGGAUUAAACAGAAAAUUU